UUCUUUCUUUCUUCCUUUUGUUGCAAACCUGAAAAGAAAGUGCAAUGUGAACCUGGAAGGUGCAUGUACUGCUGCUACUUUCGUGUGCCAACUGCUAUACUAGUUGGUUUGUGAUGAUCCAAACAAGUUGACAACAGUAGUACUGUUGGCAGUUGGUGUUUAAUUUCAUUGCUGCCAUGGUAUUUAUUCUUUCAACAUGUCAUGUAUAUGCUUGGUUCCCUGAUGGGUGCACUUUCUAACAUGCGCAGGUGCAAGACAGAGACACGCCACCAUGCAAUGUUUCUUCUUCCACUCGCAGGCCUCCCACUCCAGUAACUCUUUUUCUGUUCUAGCAUAGCAUAGCUGGUAAGCAACCGCUCCUCUCUUUUGCUCUCUCUUGCUCUAUUAUCUUGCUCUGCAUGUGUCCAUGACCACACACCCCUUCUGCUAAGUUAUGUUCUGGCCAUGGUGAUUUCUGUCUAGUGCUUAUGAUGCUUUGGACUUGUAGUUUAGUGAUGCCAAGUGUUGCAUUGAUAAUAUUUGAUCAAAACCACCCAAUUAAGUUGAACAAUUGAAGAGAGCCUGCUAAAGUUUUUUGCACGACUUGCACUUGAGCCAUGCAUAUUCAUAUUAUGUAUCUCUUUUCUUGUAUGUAUGGGUAUCUCAUUUUAACUAGUUGGAGGACAAAAAGCAUGGCACUAGCUCAAUUUGUGUUAUCAUUCUAAAUAAAUGUCAUUUUCUUGAAUGGUCGGUUCAAUAUAUUUGCCCCAAUUUUUCUUAUUCUUCUCUCAUUCAUGUAACAGGGUGACAGAGGAAGCCAUGUUGAAGUUUUGUUUGUUGCCAGCCCUGACUUCGGUCGUCCAGCGAGUCUGGCAUGUUGUUCAUCUGACUACGGUCGUCCAACUAGUCUGUCAUGUUGUUCAUCUAACUACAGUCGUCCAACGAGUCUGGCAUGUUGUCAUUUUCUUGUAAAGCAGUACUGUAUUACACUUGUAGAGCUCGUUAGUACACUUGUAGAUCUUGAAAGGACUGCAUUACACAUGGUCAUGUAUUGGCACGUAUAGAGCUUGUUAUUGUGAUUGCCAUUGUAUUAUGUGAUCUGGUUGCUCUUAUUUGAAGUUUAUGUGUGCUUUUUGUCUGGCAAUUUAAAUACUGGUUGAAAUAUGAAGAAUAUGAGCCUGAUCGAUGGGACCCACUUACCAGAACAUGAAAAAUGGGACCCAGUUACAAGAACAUGACAAUUGGGACCCAUCUGGAC
rnacentral:lncRNA from 1 species